rnacentral:rRNA from 1 species
UGCAACCGUUGUUCGGAAUUACUGGGCGUAAAGCGCGUGUAGGCGGCCCUGCAAGUCGGAUGUGAAAUCCCACGGCUCAACCGUGGAAGUGCAUUCGAAACUGCAGGGCUAGAGUCCUGGAGAGGAAGGUGGAAUGCUUGGUGUAGAGGUGAAAUUCGUAGAUAUCAAGCGGAACACCGGUGGCGAAGGCGGCCUUCUGGACAAUGACUGACGCUGAGACGCGAAAGCGUGGGGAGCAAACAGG